GGAGAGGUGGCCGAGUGGUUGAAGGCGCACGCUUGGAAAGCGUGUGACGGCUGAAAAGUUGUUCAGGAGUUCGAAUCUCCUCCUCUCCG
rnacentral:tRNA from 1 species